CUGGGCAGCCACGCUCCAACGGAUAAGAGCUGAAAGCAUCUAAGCUCGAAGCCCGCCCUGAAAAGAGGCACCCUAAGGCUCUCGUAGAAGACGAGUUUGAUAGGACGGGGGUGUACGCACCGAGGUUCGCCGAGGUGUUCAGCCCGCCGUUACUAACCG
rnacentral:rRNA from 1 species